rnacentral:rRNA from 1 species
UACGGGGGGGAGCAAGCGUUGUUCGGAUUUAUUGGGCGUAAAGAGCUCGUAGGCGGCUCAUUGCGUCAACCGUGAAAACCAGCAGCUCAACUGUUGGCUUGCGGUUGAUACGGGUGGGCUGGAGUUCGGUAGGGGAGACUGGAAUUCCUGGUGUAGCGGUGAAAUGCGCAGAUAUCAGGAGGAACACCGGUGGCGAAGGCGGGUCUCUGGGCCGAUACUGACGCUGAGACGCGAAAGCGUGGGGGAGCGAACAGG